AUUCGUUCAAAACCUAAACAGCUCAAAACACGGAUUCGCGUCCUCAACGAAGUAUACAGGUUUGUUCACAUCAGACAGGUGUCGACCAUCUGCUAUAUAGCAUCAGAGAGUGAGCGUUUAUCAUCUGUGAGGUCAGCGACCUCUGAAGUCUCUUGUUUUGCACAGCUACUCACUCUGUGCGUGACCUGGUUCCUCUGAUCUGGUUUUAGGGUUGGCUGACUUUAGAAUUGAAGGCAACAGGUGAUGUGCAGAAGUUUGGUGGAUCUGCUGAGGCAUCUCUCUAGAGCUCACUAAAAGAAAAUGUUCAUAUUUGAAAUAUUGUUGGGUGAAUCUCAAGAAGAAAUGUCCAGGGGCCAGCUGUUCAAAGUGUGCAGUCAGUGAGAGAGGCAGACUGAAGCUGGAGACACAGAUGGAUGGCAUGAUUCUGAUCAUUUCAUACUGAAUGGAGCCGAGACAGACCUCAAAGAAAAC